UUGCAGCUCCAAUAUCUGAUUACUGAUUUCUAAAUGGGUUGUAUCAUCCAAAUGAAGGUAAAACUACGUGUUUCAAGUAGGCACUUAGACAUGCAUGCUCGUUUGAACAGGCUAAAUGCUUGGGAAAUUGGUUAGAUGAUGUCCUUACUGCAGCAAAACAGUUGGUUCGAAGUUGGGAUCCUGUUUUUGUCAUGGGAUUACUGCCGCAAAACAGUUGCCUAGCUGAUUCAUUGGAUUACGUAUCAUAGUUGUUUUACUUUCGACUCUGUAAUUAUGGAACAGUUUAAUUAUGCAUCAAUAAUAUGGUGUUUAGGGUAGGUUUUAAUUCAUGAAUUGGUUACUAAAUGGUUUCUAUGUGUUUUGCUGAAUUCAGGUUAUCCUUUCUCUGCGAGACAACGAAAUGUCUAGAAAGCUAAUGAAGAUACUUAAUAAAUUUAGGGAGAGCGAUUCAUCGUAUUUUCAAUUAUGUCAUCUCGUGAGGCAAGGUGAACAACCAAGAGAAAGUUUCUUCCUCCUCACAAAUCUAGUGGAUGACAAGAACAGCGGUGCAAAUAGUUAUGCUGACUGGAUUUCGCAACUACACCGACAAGUCCAACAAAAUGCAUAAUCUUCAGGUAAAUAAUAUUCCAGUAUAUUAUACGAGCAAGGUGUUUGGUUCCGGUCAAAAUCCAUAUUGCCAAGUUUGAAACAUAAGGAGCGUGAUUCUUCUUGUAUUUACAUUGCAGAAUUUCCAGAUAACAUGCUGUCUUUCGCCUGUUAAAAAUGCUCGGUUUGGUGAUUCACUGGAUCACGAGUGAAAGGGGAUUGAGAGAUACGGCUUUUAAACGAUUUCUUUUAUAUAUAUCACUAAUUGGGAUAAAAAGUGACAUAAUAUCUAAUUUAUGAGGAGUUCUUUUCGGUUAGAACUUCGAUUUUUGGUUAUAGCUUGUCAUAAUAUUUGUUCGUGAAUUUUAAUCUCAUUUUUCGUUUCUUAGAGUUAAUAAUCAUAAUAUGGAUUCUUAUUUGGGUCUGUGUAUUGUAGAUGUAGACCGGUAAUUUCUCGACUCAACUUUAGCUGUUACCGGAGUGUUUCCUGUGCUAGGUCUUGUUUGGUUGGGUAGAUUAACCAUUAUUAACCUAACAAUUGGACUUUAUUUGAUAUUUUGUAUCCCUAAUAACUUGCCGGGACCUGCAAAUAUUAUCUUGCCUUUUAGGGAACUUUUUUGUUG